UUGCUUUGGCAGCACAUAUACUAAAAUUGGAAUGAUGCAAAGAAGACUAACAUGGUGCUUGUGGAAGGAUAACAUAGAAAUUUAUGAUGAUUUCUAUAUUUUU